AGUGAACGCUGGCGGUAGGCCUAACACAUGCAAGUCGAACGGCAGCACAGUAAGAGCUUGUUCUUACGGGUGGCGAGUGGCGGACGGGUGAGGAAUACAUCGGAAUCUACUUUUUCGUGGGGGAUAACGUAGGGAAACUUACGCUAAUACCGCAUACGACCUACGGGUGAAAGCAGGGGAUCUUCGGACCUUGCGCGAUUGAAUGAGCCGAUGUCGGAUUAGCUAGUUGGCGGGGUAAAGGCCCACCAAGGCGACGAUCCGUAGCUGGUCUGAGAGGAUGAUCAGCCACACUGGAACUGAGACACGGUCCAGACUCCUACGGGAGGCAGCAGUGGGGAAUAUUGGACAAUGGGCGCAAGCCUGAUCCAGCCAUACCGCGUGGGUGAAGAAGGCCUUCGGGUUGUAAAGCCCUUUUGUUGGGAAAGAAAAGCAGCAGGUUAAUACCCCGCUGUUCUGACGGUACCCAAAGGAUAAGCACCGGCUAACUUCGUG
rnacentral:rRNA from 1 species